rnacentral:sRNA from 1 species
CAGACUACAAUUGUGAGUCCUGAACGAUAGCUGCCUCAAAGCGCCUUCAUGAUACUAUCCUGAAAUGACUACUCUGAAAUGUGGACAGUGAAGUUUGGUGAAUUUGGUCAUUUAGUUUCUUCAAAGAUAAUGAGAUUGUGUUUCCCCUAAGGAUGUAUUUACAGCUAGUCAGUGGAAACUGAAUCCAUUCCCAGUUUUAAUGCUUUUCCAGUUCAAACGUGAUAUGCAUGUAUGUGUCUCUUUCUAACCCUUCGAGCUUCUCUCUGUGUACGAUUUAGGGUUACAUUCCGAAAAGCAAAUGGGAGAUGGACACAUCUGAGGCAAAGCUAGACAAGUUGGAUGGCUUGAGGACUGGUACUAAAAGGAAACGUGACUGGGAGGCCAUUGCCAGCAGAAUGGAGGAUUAU